UGCUGAAAAUAUUUAUUAGUAUUCAAGGUAUAACUCGAGGUGGUUGGCGGUGGUCGUUGGGGGUGGUUGGGGGAGGUUGCGGGUAAUCAAGGCAAUUCAGGAGGAGGGGGACGAGGAUUUGUGCUCGGUAUAACCCGAGGUAGUUCGCGAUGGUUGCGGGUGAUCGAGGUGGGCGAGGAGGAGGACGAGGAUGACGAGGACUUGUACACUUUCUGUGCCCCACCUAUAGUGAUCCACUAGUACAUAUCCUCCGAC